rnacentral:rRNA from 1 species
AUGGGAACGCGAAGAACCUUACCUACUCUUGACAUCCAGAGAACUUUCCAGAGAUGGAUUGGUGCCUUCGGGAACGUCUGAGACAGGUGCUGCAUGGCUGUCGUCAGCUCGUGUUGUGAAUGUUGGGUUAAGUCCCGCAACGAGCGCAACCCGUUAUCCUUUGUUGCCAGCGGUUAGGCCGGGAACUCGAAGGAGACUGCCAGUGAUAAACUGGAGGAAGGUGGGGAUGACGUCAAGUCAUCAUGGCCCUUACGAGUAGGACUACACACGUGCUACAAUGGCGCAUACAAAGAGAAGCGACCUCGCGAGAGCAAGCGGACCUCAUAAAGUGCGUCGUAGUCCGGAUUGGAGUCUGCAACUCGACUCCAUGAAGUCGGAAUCGCUAGUAAUCGUAGAUCAGAAUGCUACGGUGAAUACGUUCCCGGGUC